rnacentral:rRNA from 1 species
GACGAACGCUGGCGGCGUGCCUAAUACAUGCAAGUUGAGCGCUGAAGGUUGGUACUUGUACCAACUGGAUGAGCAGCGAACGGGUGAGUAACGCGUGGGGAAUCUGCCUUUGAGCGGGGGACAACAUUUGGAAACGAAUGCUAAUACCGCAUAAAAACUUUAAACACAAGCUUUAAGUUUGAAAGAUGCAAUUGCAUCACUCAAAGAUGAUCCCGCGUUGUAUUAGCUAGUUGGUGAGGUAAAGGCUCACCAAGGCGAUGAUACAUAGCCGACCUGAGAGGGUGAUCGGCCACAUUGGGACUGAGACACGGCCCAAACUCCUACGGGAGGCAGCAGUAGGGAAUCUUCGGCAAUAGACGAAAGUCUGACCGAGCAACGCCGCGUGAGUGAAGAAGGUUUUCGGAUCGUAAAACUCUGUUGGUAGAGAAGAACGUUGGUGAGAGUGGAAAGCUCAUCAAGUGACGGUAACUACCCAGAAAGGGACGGCUAACUACGUG